rfam:Ramazzottius varieornatus DNA, contig: Scaffold001, strain: YOKOZTNA-1.
GCCGUGGUGUCCGAGUGGUUAAGGAGUCUGACUCGAAAUCAGAUGGGUUCUCCCGCAUAGGUUCGAAUCCUAUCCACGGCG